rnacentral:rRNA from 1 species
ACGCUAGCUACAGGCUUAACACAUGCAAGUCGAGGGGCAGCAUGGUCUUAGCUUGCUGAGGCUGAUGGCGACCGGCGCACGGGUGAGUAACACGUAUCCAACCUGCCGUCUACUCUUGGCCAGCCUUCUGAAAGGAAGAUUAAUCCAGGAUGGCAUCAUGAGUUCACAUGUCCGCAUGAUUAAAGGUAUUUUCCGGUAGACGAUGGGGAUGCGUUCCAUUAGAUAGUAGGCGGGGUAACGGCCCACCAAGCCUUCGAUGGAUAGGGGUUCUGAGAGGAAGGUCCCCCACAUUGGAACUGAGACACGGUCCAAACUCCUACGGGAGGCAGCAGUGAGGAAUAUUGGUCAAUGGACGAGAGUCUGAACCAGCCAAGUAGCGUGAAGGAUGACUGCCCUAUGGGUUGUAAACUUCUUUUAUACGGGAAUAAAGUGAGGCACGUGUGCCUUUUUGUAUGUACCGUAUGAAUAAGGAUCGGCUAACUCCGUGCCAGCAGCCGCGGUAAUACGGAGGAUCCGAGCGUUAUCCGGAUUUAUUGGGUUUAAAGGGAGCGUAGGCGGACGCUUAAGUCAGUUGUGAAAGUUUGCGGCUCAACCGUAAAAUUGCAGUUGAUACUGGUAGUCUUGAGUGCAGCAGAGGUAGGCGGAAUUCGUGGUGUAGCGGUGAAAUGCUUAGAUAUCACGAAGAACUCCGAUUG